rnacentral:rRNA from 1 species
AUUGAACGCUGGCGGCAGGCCUAACACAUGCAAGUCGAGCGGAGCGGCGGACGGGUGCGUAAUGCCUAGGAAUCUGCCUGGUAGUGGGGGAUAACGUACGGAAACGGGCGCUAAUACCGCAUAAUAUCAGCUGAUCCUAGGUCGGUGUAGCUAGUUGGUGGGGUAAGGGCCUACCAAGGCGACGAUCCGUAACUGUUCUGAGAGGAUGAUCAGUCACACUACAACUGAGACACGGCCCGGCCUACUACGGGAGGCAGCGGUGGGGAAUAUUGGACAAUGGGCGAAAGCCUAGUCCAGCCAUGCCGCGUGUGGGAAGAAGGUCUUCGGAUUGUAAAGCACUUUAAGUUGGGAGGCGUUACCAACAGAAUAAGCACCGGCUAACUUCGUGCCAGCAGCCGCGGUAAUAC